UUGAGUUUAUCUUCUAUAUGAUCAAAGCAUUCGAAGACAUGAUGUUGUUAGCCUUCAUGACAUUCUGUCAGAAGGAGAGCAAGUUUCAAAUGACAGCCCUGUGUGCUGGAGUAAAUAUGGGCUGGAGGGGGUGUUGUAAAUAACUCCGGAAACCCAAAACAAAAUGCGGCAAAAUGAGCAGUGAGUAGACACACAGCAGGAAGAUGUGUCUGACAUAGCAUAAAGUUUGAAAUGAAAAGUGUUUCUGAAAGUUCAGUUCUCUUAUUUUCACUGUGCAUUUUGUCUCUGUCAUUUCCCAGUUGUGUGACCUUGAGAAAUUUACUUUGCCUCUCUGAGCACGGUGAUUAAUAUUGCUUUAUUUUCCUGUUGGAAUUAGACGCGGUACCUAUGUUCUGUUCCUCCCCCCACUUUCAGUUUAAUGAAAUGACUCAGUGCAGCCUGAAAUAGGGUCCCAGCCUGGGAACUUUUGGGAGGAACUAAGUGAGUAUUCACCCCAGCACCUGUCACAGAGCUUGGCACAUGGUUGGUUUGUGCUUGAUGAAUGUCAACUGAAUGACUGCAGAUAUAAAAACGUUGCUUUAUUUAACUUAUAGCCAGGGGGAAUUUUAAGGAGAUUAAUUAAUUUCUGGUACAUAAAUAAGCUGCUGAGAUUCCUGAAGUCAGAGCUGAUCUGCCCUUUACCCCAAUCAACCGCCACCUCUGGGCUCUGACUCCUCUACUUCUCUCUGGGCAAGGACCAGGGAGCCCAACCCCACUGGGCAAGGACCCAGGGAGGCAGCCUGUGAGAGCAAAGGACGCCUCUGGGCUGUAGACACACCAGUGAAGUUGGUCCAUUAAUGCCUUCCCCACAACUGAGAGCCUGAUGGGCUGUGCCUCUGCCCAUGUCCCCUCCACUGUGACUGCAGCUCUUCCUUUAGGGACUUUCUGUUUCCUUCAAGGCCAUCUUUGAACCUACGCUCACUCCCUAACUUGACUCGUCCCAGGGACAAAUGUCAUACAGUGUGACUUGGACCUGAGCUUUUAGGAUCUCCUGUUUGAGGAAUCCUGAAAUUGGCUGAAAAUGGGACGGUCUCUUCAGUAUUCCAACAUCCCCCUGUUCUGAAUGUUUCACACUCUAAUUUGCAUCUAGGAGGCAUUUGCUGACAAAAAGGAAGCUCAGUUUUGUCUCAAUUAUUAGAAAGUCCUCAUUAAUUAAUGAAUUCUUAGCUGUCUUUUAAAAUACUAAUCCUGAAGUCUCAGCACACUGCUAUCUGGCUAUUAGUGCCCUGCCUCAGUGACUCUUAUCAAGGCGACUAGCCACUUCCUAGUAUUGUCACAUCCAAGGGACACUUCCAGACAUGGCUAUAAGUCCUAUGCAGUUGUCCAUGCUCUUGCUUUCCCUUUCAGCAGUGAUCUCAGAGGCCACAUAUUUGAGGUAGAAGCAGCUGGGUCCUCUUGGAGGGGAGGCACCAAGGAGAGCUGACUACCACAUAAGGUUUUACCUUGAGCGAGAAAUAAAUCUCCAUUAUGUUAGGCUACUGAGAUUUGGGCUUGCUUGUUAUAGCAGCUAGUGUGUUACCCUGACUAUUAUGGAUACUAGUAGAAAUUCCUGAAAGGUGGGAUGUUAAUGAAAUGGCAAUUCAAGGGAGGGAAACAUGACACACAUGGUGGGUCCAUACUACUUGGCUCCUCCGUUAUUCCCUUUGAUAGUAACCCCAAACAUCUGCCUAGAGGUUCACAGCUUGCGUUGACAUCGUGUACAACCCCCACAGAUGAAGAUGGAGGAGAAUGAUGUCUCAGGAGGACCUGAGUCAGGCACAGCACACUCUCACCAUUUUUUCUGCUUGCCUCUAUCUCACCUAUGCGCUCACACUUCAGCCUGUCUGUAAAGUAUGCGACCAUCAGUCAUGUUCCUGACUUUGCCUAUGGGACUGGGCAGAGGUAUGGCGGCUGGGACCUGCAGAGUGGUUGUGUGAGAUGACUGUAAUUCCAGGCUAACGAACGCUCUGCAGGCGCCUUUGCUGGUUGCCAGCUCUCAGCUUUGUGUUCUGGAAACAUCUUGAACAAAAUGUCACGGAGAGCAUCUCGGCAGUGUCCUGCUGACUGAAGACCUGGGACUGUCGAGGCUGCCAUCUGCCUGCAGCCUCUCGGAACUACAGUUCCAGUGACUAUCAUGGAGCAGAACCUUGAUAAAUGUGUGUGGUAGUUUAGAAAAAAAUGGACACAAGUUUGUUGACACUGUCCCAUCAAGAGGUGGAGUUUACGUUCUCACUCUUUGACUCUAGGCAGACUUGUAACUACUUUGACAAAUGGAGUAUGAUGGGAGUGACACUGUGUGAGUGCUGAGUCUAAGUCAUGAAAGACCAUGAAGCGUUUUCCCGGUUCUCCUGGAAUGUUCAGGCUUGUGACACUUGUGAAUUCCAGCGGCCAUGCUGUGAGAAGUUAAAGCCACAUGGAGAGACCACAUGUGAGUGCUUCAAUUGUCAGCUCUGGUGGAGCUCAGUCUUUGGGUCAUCUCAGCCCAGGUGCCAGACAUGGAACUGAAGAGGCCUCCAGAUGUGUCAGCCCCCAGCUGUUUGAAUCUUCCCAGCUGAGAUUUCAGACACUGUGGAACAGAGAAAAGCCAUUCCUGCUAUGUUCUGCUUUAAGUCUGACCCACAGCAACUGUGAGCUAAUAAAAUGAUUGUUGUGUUAGUCCA